GAUGAACGCUGGCGGCGUGCCUAAUACAUGCAAGUAGAACGCUGAAGGAAGGAGCUUGCUCUUUCCGGAUGAGUUGCGAACGGGUGAGUAACGCGUAGGUAACCUGCCUGGUAGCGGGGGAUAACUAUUGGAAACGAUAGCUAAUACCGCAUAACAGUAGAUGUUGCAUGAUAUCUACUUAAAAGGUGCAAUUGCACCACUACCAGAUGGACCUGCGUUGUAUUAGCUAGUUGGUGAGGUAACGGCUCACCAAGGCGACGAUACAUAGCCGACCUGAGAGGGGGAUCGGCCACACUGGGAAUGAGACACGGCCCAGACUCCUACGGGAGGCAGCAGUAGGGAAUCUUCGGCAAUGGACGGAAGUCUGACCGAGCAACGCCGCGUGAGUGAAGAAGGGUGUCGGAUCGUAAAGCUCUGUUGUAAGAGAAGAACGAGUGUGAGAGUGGAAAGUUCACACUGUGACGGUAUCUUACCAGAAAGGGACGGCUAACUACGUG
rnacentral:rRNA from 1 species